rnacentral:rRNA from 1 species
GACGAACGCUGGCGGCGUGCCUAACACAUGCAAGUCGGACGAAGAUAAGAUUUCGGUUUUAUCUUAGUGGCGGACGGGUGAGUAACGCGUGGGCAACCUGCCUUCAAGAGGGGGAUAACAGCUGGAAACGGCUGCUAAUACCGCAUGAGACCACACUAUCGAAUGAUAGAGGGGUCAAAGGAGGAAUCCGCUUGAAGAGGGGCCCGCGUCCCAUUAGUUAGUUGGUGAGGUAACGGCCCACCAAGACCGCGAUGGGUAGCCGGUCUGAGAGGAUGAACGGCCACACUGGAACUGAGACACGGUCCAGACUCCUACGGGAGGCAGCAGUGGGGAAUAUUGGGCAAUGGGCGAAAGCCUGACCCAGCAACGCCGCGUGAAGGAAGAAGGUUUUCGGAUUGUAAACUUCUGUCUUGGGGGACGAAGGAAGUGACGGUACCCCGAGAGGAAGCCCCGGCUAACUACGUG